GAGGAGGAAGAAGAUCCAGGUGUCAAUCACAUUGUAACGUGGGGGCUGGAGGCUCAAACCUGGGUCCCUGUGCAUCGUAACAUGUGCCACCACCUGGCCCCAGAGCAAAAAAGAAGGAAAUAAGGUCAUUUCACAGCCCACUUGCCUACAGUGCCUGGGUGCAACAAACUUGCAGUGAGAGAUGAAUGAUGGCGAAUAAUUGCUCUCUUAUGACUGGCAUUGAUACCAGCAAAGGCUUGGAAAAUGAAUCAAUUCAAAGGCAAACAAUUCGCUAACAGCGUUCAUGGUUCACUGGCAGAGGAAAGAAGGCUUUUUAGCUUGGCACUCCAGAUAUGACCUUGUCUAUAUGGUUAAAAAAAAAAAAAAAAGUACCCGAUUUUUUAAAAAGUCAAUCAAACCAUUCUCGUUGAGCUAUUAAAAUAAACAACAUGGUCAAUAGAAAGAAAAGAUAUAAAAUAAAUAAAUGGUGAAAUAACAGAUAUGUGAGGCCCAAGCUCCAAAAAUUAAAUAAAUAAGAUGGUUUAAAAUAUGAAAUACAUAUUUUAAGUGCCCCUUCCCCAUUUUUUAAAAUUUCUUUAUGCGGGGGGGGGGGGGGGUUAAUGGUUUAUAGUCAACAGUAAAAUACAAUAGUUUGUACAUGUGUAACAUUUCCCAGUUUUCUUUUCUUUUUUUUUUCUUUUUUUUGGAUAGGACAGAGAGAAGUUGAGAGGGGAAGACAGAAAGGGGGAGAGAAAGAUAGACACAUGCAGGCCUGCCUCAGCAUUUGUGAAGCGACUCCCCUGCAGGUGGGGAGUGGGGUCUCGAACCUAGAUCCUUGCACGGGUCCUUGCACUUUGUACUAUGUGCACUUAACCCAGUGUGCUACCUCCUGGCCCCCUUCAGCUUUCUACAUAACAAUUCAACUCCCACUAAGCCCUCCUCUGCCAUCAUGUUCCGGGACCUGAACCUUCCCCCCCCCCCACCCCAGAAUCUUUUACCUUGGUGCAGUAGGCUAAACGCAGUCCAAGUUCUGCUCUGUGUUCUCUUAUUUUUCAACUUCUUUUAUUAUUCCUACUAGUAGUGAUUCAAUAACGAUUGUGGGAUAAGAGGGGUACAAUUUAUACAAUUCUCACCACCAGAGUUGCCUGUCCCAUCCCCUCCAUUAGAAGCCUCCCUAUUUAUCCCUCUGGGAAGAUGAACCAAAAUUCUUUGUGGCAAGCAGGAGGUGGGAGUUCUGGCUUCUUAAUUAUUUCUCUGCUGGACAUGGGUGUUGGCAGGCAGAUCCACACCCCCAGCCUGUUCCUGUCUUUCCCUAGUGGGGCAGGGCUCUGGAGAGGGGGGGUUCCUGGACACAUUGGUGAGGUCGUCUAUCCAGCCUUGCUGAUUCUAACACACAGUAAAGUGUCAGCUAAAACAACCUGUGUAUCAGUCAUGGUAGCAAUGUAUCAGCCCUACUAGUCCAUCUAGACUGGAAAGAAACACAGAGUCUAUCACACAAAUGAGAAAAAGUAGAUCCAGGGAAAGAAAGUGACUCGCCCAAGGACACUGAGCCAAUCCCAGUCCCAUGGGCAUUUUCAUGAUUCUGUUGGGCCCAAUUGCCAAGACAACAGGCUGAUUUUGAUGAAUAUGUUCUAACUGUCAAAAGACGGCAUAAGACACGGUCAUUUUGUUGGUGUAUGUGUGUGUGUGUGUGUGUGUGUGUGUGUGUGUGCGCGUGUGCGCGCAGGGAUUAUGGAUUAUAUUGAUUGUGAAAUCAGGUUAAUGGUUUAAAUCAGUGUCAAAUAACUAGUAAAAUUUUUAUUAUUAAAAAGGAACUUACUUGGCUGAGGAGAUAGCACAGAGGUUCUGCAAAAGACAUCGAUUCCUGAGGCUCAGAGGUCCCAGGUUCAAUUCCCAGAACCACCAUAAACCAGAGCUGACCAGGGCUCUGGUCUUUCUCUCUGUGUAUCUCUCAUUAAAUUAAAUGAAUAAAAUAUUGUUUCAA